ACCUCCCCUGCCCAGAGUUGGGGUCAGAGGUGCACUCGGGGUCUGAUCCUCCCGGAGGUGUUUGAAACGCUGGCGUGCGGUGCGAGAUGGGGGCGAAAGCGUAAGAGCCCGCUGGGCCGCGGCCAGGCCCGGGACCCUGGCUAUACCGCGCGCAGGAGCAGCUCCACCUGGAAGCUGGGCCCACGGGACUGAGCCUUGCGCUGAUUGGCCGGCGCAGCGUCGCGUGCGUCAGUUGCCCGCCGCCGCGUGGCCGAGGAGUAGCUUGGGCGUUAGUGGGGCCCCCACACCAGUUCCUCAGUGCCUCCGCCUGUGAUGUGAUUAGCCAAGACCUGUGCCUUUAAGGAGUGCCCCCUUCCUCGGCCCUUCCCCCUCCAAUUACAGCACUAAUUUCAGUAAUGGAGCAUUAAUAGAGUAAUGGGCGAGUGAGGCUGGCUUGAAGGAACUGUGGAGCUCAGCACAAAUUGACAAGCCCUGAAUGUGGGCUGAGGGCUGUGACUUGAAGUACCUGAGAAGGGCUCCCUGUCUUCCACAAGGGCCCUGAUGACUCCAGAAAGGCUGAUUUACAGUGCGAUAUUUGCCGUGACUGUGAAGACUCUUUAGUAGAUAUACAAAUAAAGACAAGAGAAGAAAGAAGGAAGGAGUAUCUAUCUGAUUGAUGGGGGAAGAGUCUGGAUUUCUAGCAAGUCUCAUCACCUUUAGUGGCCUAAGAGCUGAGUUCCCACUUGCUGGAAACUGUAUAAAGACAAACCUCCCCUCAUCAACUAUUUGGUUACCCUGAAGUAUAGGGUCAUACUGAUAAGCCACAUGUGGUCAUGUGAUUAAGCUCCAGUGAAAGAAGAUAAAGAAGAGUUUUGUGCAGUUUGCAGACAUGUCUAUAAAGGGGAAGACCAUUCCCUUCUUCCCCGUUUUCCUAAUUCCUCUGUGUGGAAUGUGAGUGUGAAGACUGGAGCUGGAGUUCCAUCUGCAAACAGAAGAUGAGAGCCACAAACUGAAGAUGGUGAAGCAAAUAGGUGAAAGAAGACAGAGUCCUUCCUGAUAUGGGGUUGCCAUACCCCACCUGGACUGCUAUGUUUACAUGAGCUAGA